AUUACUAACUUUUUUAUAAAACUAAUCCCUAUAUUAUUUACUAUCCAAUCACCGACAUGUUUCUUCUUGGUCUGUAGGCUUAUGAUAUUGAUACACUGUCAGAUGAACAGAGGUAUGCUAUCAAGGACCUUGCUGAUCUGGGACUAGUUAAGCUUCAGCAGGGUAGAAAAGAGAGUUGGUUCAUACCUACUAAAUUAGCCACAAAUCUUUCAAUGAGUUUGGCAGAUUCCUCUUCAAGGAAACAAGGAUUUGUUGUUGUGGAGACAAAUUUCAGGAUGUAUGCUUAUUCUUCUUCCAAACUACAUUGUGAAAUAUUACG